CUUCAUCGUCUUUUUUUCAUCAAAAAAUAAAUAAAUUAAAAGAUCUUCUUAUGCCCGUAAUAUUUCAAUUUCUCCAAUGUGUAAUAUAUUUCUACCAAAGAAUAUCUCUUUAUCAACCACUGCAUAUUGAAAAGACGGUUCAUUGAAACUUUUUCAGAAAUGAAAUACCACUUAAAGCAAGGGAGAAGGGACACAGGUUGGUUUUCUCUGUCGAGGUAAAUACCAGUAUUUGAUUCGUACAUUGAGGUUUGGUAAAAAUCUUUUUGUUACGUAUUCCGGAUGAAUUUAGCACUGCUAGAGUCCAUUGUACCAAUGUUCACGAAGUAUAAUAUAGGAUAUCGUUAUUAUUAACAUGUUAUUUAGGGGGUUUGCACAAGGUCAGAUUCGUUUGCCCGAUAUAUAUAAGGUCGGGUGAAAGGUUUAUUCGCGUUUCUGUACUGUUGGUCUCACUGCAAGCUACUUUUAGACCCUUAAUACCAAUUGAGCUCGGAUAAAGUAUAAAAGUUCGGUAUUUUUCCCCAGGGGCCUACUAUAUGUUCAAUUCGUACAAUUCUCAAUAAGUUUUAAGCUCAAUUUUUUAUAACACCGAAAAUGAUAUACAUCUUCUGCUCCCUUCCCCCACUUCUUUU